ensembl:ribozyme RNaseP_nuc Nuclear RNase P
GUUAGUGGAAGCUCAUUGUAGAGUACCCUUGCAGUGGGUAACCACAACCUGGUGAGUGGGUGCACAGAAAAUAGAAGAAGAAGCUGCUUGAUGAACUUCAGCUCAAAUGGUGGAUGUGAACUCAGUGGUUUGGAAACGCCCACGGCUGGCAGAUGAGUCCAAUGGAUGAGGUGGAGCACAGCUUCAGAACCCAAUUCAGACUACGCUCCCCCCAC